AUGAUUGUUGUUAGAGAUUUGUUCACCGGGUUUGGGGGUGGGGGGAGCAGCAGCCUGGCCCAGAGGGAGGCCUGCUUGUCACACGUGCACAUGUACACACACACACACACACACACACACACACCCCUAGCAUGGUGCACACACAGGUAUAUAUCCACAAAUGCCUGUUAUAGUCAGGCCCUGGAACAGCAAUUCGCAGUAGGCUGGCAUGCUCUUACCCUAGCACACAAACAAAACAUUGCCCACACACACCAGCAUUCAGUCGCAAACACCACCCCCAGACCAGUUUCAAAACCCACACAGCAAGCUUGCAAGGAAAGGAAAAUAGGUAAGCCAGUGGCCCAGCCAGCGCACAUCACCGCUUCCUGCCCCAGUGGAGCUGGUCCACGGAGUCAUCUCAGCCACCACCCCAAAGUUCACUCGCUCUUCCUUCAGGCCACCCCAGCGUCUCUGGGUCUCUCUCAAGCCAGGAGGCAGGUAGGAAGCCCAUCCAGAGAGUCCUCUGGAGCUGGCAAGUAUAUUUUAAUUUACUGUUUGAUGGCAAAUAAAGAGACCUUGGGAAAAAAGGGAAGGAGCAACUGUGCCCGGCAUCCUCCCCACCGGCCCCUCCUUUGGACAUUGGCUUUCUCCACGAAACAGUGCACUGUUGUUCUUGGACAACCAUUCCCCACCAUCUCUGUUCGAAGGGUUUGAGUUUCACCCUCCGUUCACCCCCAUUAAUCACCCCAGCAGCUAAACAUCACCCAGCCCCCUCUGGCCCUUUCUCUUCUUCUUGCCCUUAGUAUUCAUGGCGGGCAUUCCUCACUGCUUCGGGCCUCACAAAGACCCCUCCUCUGACACAAGUUCCCUCCCCGUCCCAGCCACCCGGUCCUGAUGAUGGGCUCUGCUCAGCGGUCCUGGUCCUGCUGUUCUCCGACUGCCAGCUCCUUCCCACACCCUCCUUCAGGUACCUCAGCCCUUCCCCACAGACUCUCUCCAGCCUCUCCCACCCACCACCACUCUUUCCUUCAUGCCCCAUCCACGUGUAGCCCCUCUCUACCCUUUUCCCUUCCUUUUCCCCAAUAUAUUCCCUAGGACCUUCAGAUACCAGCUAGGAAACACUUCCCUUCCAGCCUUGAGAAACUGAGGAGCUAAAAGCAUGGGUUUUGGAUUCAAGUCCCAGCUCUGUCACUGGCUGGUUGUACGACCUUAGGCAGACUGCUUAACCUGUCUUAGAUAUCCAUAAAAUGGACAUACCCACUGACCUUAUGGAACAGUUGUGUGGAUCAGAUUAAAUUUUAUUUGCAUGGAUCCAAGCAUUCAGCAGGAGCUUGAUAAAUGGUGGUUAUUAAUAUCAAGCUUCUUGUAAGGAGGGAAAAGGAUGCUCUUCAGAUUCCAAUAAAAGUGAAGGAAUUGCCUCCUCUAGCA
ensembl:lncRNA